rfam:Beta vulgaris subsp. vulgaris chromosome 5, whole genome shotgun sequence.
GGGGAUGUAGCUCAGAUGGUAGAGCGCUCGCUUAGCAUGAGAGAUGUACGGGGAUCGAUACCCCGCAUCUCCA